rnacentral:lncRNA from 13 species
GACUUAAAUACAACCCACAGAAGUGCUGGCUUGGCUGGCAAAACUUUUGCUAAACAGAAGAGCAACAUUUUUUUCUUUUCUUUUCUGGACUUUGCAAACAGCAUUGAUUCUCAGCCUUGCCUUCCAAACGUUCCAGCUGGAACAUUGCUGGGCAGCGUGGACACAGACGCGAACGUCAUCCAGGCCGGCAGGGGGCGGCAGACCCCACACUUCGCCGCGCGCCCCGGCCUCCCUGGGAGGGAGAGUCCAGCUGCCAAUGCCUGUCGCAGGUUUGGUCCCAAGCGACUUCAGCCAGCAGACGGUUCCAGUUCUGAGGCUGCAAAAUUCGGCUCCUUCCACAGACUGACCUUCUUUUGUGCCAUCAGUGUGAUCCUGUGUCCGCUAUGCAAAGCACUGUUUACUGAAUCUGGUGGAAAAGAAGCAACAGGGCACCGGCACUGGCUCACUCAUAUAAUCCCAGCACUUUUGGAGGCCAAAGCAGGAAGAUUGCUUGAGCACAAGAGUUCAAGACCAGCCUGGGCAACAUGGCAAGACAUCGUCGCUGCAAAAAAUACCCAAAAUAGUAUCUAGGAGUGGUGGUGCACGCCUGUAGCCCCAGCUACUCUGGAGGCUGAGGUAGGAGGAUGAUUGAACCCAGGAGGUCAAGGCUGCAGUGAGCCAAGAUUGCACCACUGCACUACAGCCUGGGCAACAGAGUGAGACCUUGUGUCAAAAAAUAAAUACUUCAGAAAACAAGAAAAAUAAUAAUAA